rnacentral:rRNA from 3 species
UGGGGAAUAUUGCACAAUGGAGGGAACUCUGAUGCAGCGACGCCGCGUGAACGAAGAAGGCUUUCGAGUCGUAAAGUUCUUUUAUAUGGGAAGAUAAUGACGGUACCAUAAGAAAAAGCCCCGGCUAACUACGUGCCAGCAGCCGCGGUAAUACGUAGGGGGCUGGCGUUGUCCGGAAUCACUGGGCGUAAAGGGUUCGCAGGCGGAAAUGCAAGUCAGGUGUAAAAGGCAGUAGCUUAACUACUGUAAGCAUUUGAAACUGCAUAUCUUGAGAAGAGUAGAGGUAAGUGGAAUUUUUAGUGUAGCGGUGAAAUGCGUAGAUAUUAAAAAGAAUACCGGUGGCGAAGGCGACUUACUGGGCUCAUUCUGACGCUGAGGAACGAAAGCGUGGGUAGCAAACAGG